rnacentral:lncRNA from 1 species
UCAGAAACUGCUACUCAAGUGUACCCUCCUGGUUCUAGGGUUCCAUUGUGGUGACAACAAAUUACAAGCAGCUUACUUCCUCAGAGCCCAUCACUACCAACACCAACUGACAGCUUCGAGAAGGACCUCAGUACCACUUUCCCUAACCAAAAUUUUCCUCUUUACUCCAAGCCCUGACAAGGAUAAAUCUCUAAACUUUAGAAACAAUGUAAUUUUACAAAUUAACUUAUACGCAGGGUUACUUCCUUUCCAAUUUGAUCAGGGAAUGCAGGGCAAGAAUAACCCAAAAUAUGCAAUGUAAAUCAUGUUGAAAUUAAAAUGUAUUUCCAUCUCCACCCCUCCACGAUGGCAUAAUUUCAAAUCAACUUAUAUAAUGCAUAUCUAGUCCUCUGAAAAAUCAUUUUUAAAAGUAGGGCUGUUAUUAUUCUGUCCUAGCUAUCGCAGAUCAAUUUAGAUUUGUUCUGUAAGAUUUCAGAUUUUCCCCAAAUGACACAGGUGGUUAUUUUAUAUGUAUCAGUCAUUAAAAGAUUAAUCCUUUUUAACUAAAAAGAGACAGUACGGUCAUUUACAAGUUAAAGUAGAUUUAUUCUGAGCUGGUGCUCUGGGGUCUUACUUCUCUAAAAUUUUGUGAUUUACAAUACACCACAUGUAGGAAACAGCUUCCAAAAUUUGUAUUGCUUCCUACAAAUCAGACAGGACUUUCAGGAGAAGGAGCCUAGGAUAGAUUCUCUGUUAAAUUUUGGAAUCCCUUCUCUCAAGAGUAACCUACUAUAAACUAUUUACCAAGCCUUUGUGAAAUCUGUAUAACAGGUUACUACUCCAUUGAGCAAGAAAACACAGGAAACAGGAUUCGAAGAUUUAAUGUUACUGCUCAUACUCCAAAUUAUAGAAUGCUUAAGAUAAUUAAAUUAUCUGACUUUUAUAAUUCACUACACGGUGACCUCAAAUUUACCUCAUUAGAAUAUUUAGUACUUCUGCACUUCUCCCACUUCUCAAAGUUUUCCCAUACCAGGAUUCCCCACCACCUAGGAACAGCCUUUGCAAGAUACCAAUGCUCUCUAAAUCCCCAAAGCAGGGUCUAUUUCCUGAUCGAACAAAGAGCAACAAAGAAGUGGGUGGUAACCACCUCUCUGAGGCAAGCCAGGACCCAUGGAGUCUGAUCUACAACACAAGCAGUAGCAGUUCCACAUCUCCCUACCACCUCUUAUUUCCUACGAAGUCUUUCUGCCUGAAACUGGAAAACCCGAACUAUUAUUGAGGAAGUGAAGCCCUUCCAUUUGAAUCCUGAGAAAGACGCGCUCAAAGAACCCAGCGAACAAAGGAGAGGGUUGGAGCCCACGCAAAACAUGGGUGUGAUAAAGCCACACGCGACCUGAGCCCCCACCCUCAGUAACUACUCUCCAGCGCCCACCGGGAGGAGGGGUCCGGGGAAAGGAUUGGCAUCCUCUGCUUCUGCAGAAAACAUGGCUACCAACAGCUUCUGUAUCCACCUGCGGAGGAGACUGACUGCUCUGUUAUUCCCCCAGCAUCUGUGAAGAGGCUCUGACUGGCUAAAGUGUUGGAAGGAGUCUGUAGCUUUAGGGGAAGACAGAGCCACAAGAUGGAAGGAGCUUGGAUGUCUGAACUAUUCCAUGGAGAAAAGCUGCAGCCAACGAAGAACACCUGCAAUGGACUCUUAACCUGGGGGUGACGACAACCACUGAAAUAUGCUGCAUCUUAGUCCAGGGAUUUUUAAAGUGUGGUUCCUGGAAGAGCUGGAUCAGAGUCAUCUGUGUUGAUGGUUUAACAUAAAGAUUUUCGAGCCCCAAGACUCAAGUAGGACAAGGAAUUUGAAUUUUUAAGCAGCUCACCUGACUUGUCUGUCCUCUAAUGUCUGAAGACAUCUGACCUCUGCUCUUUCAGUAAAAGCAACAAUGGUUUUAUGAGCAUUGUCGUCACAUCUCUCCACUCAAGGGAUCCUUCUCAUUUCUCCCAGCUGAGGUCACCCACAGCUGCUGCUUCUAACUGCUGGCUUCCAGCCUGCUGUCUGCCAGCUGGCUCUACCCUCUCCUAUAACACGGCAGAGAGUAGCUGUGGUCUCCUGCGUGCUCACCCUCUGCUCCCUUGGUCCUGCUCCAUGCUUUGGUCCUGCACUUAAAUUUUACAAGCAUACUCUCUUUCUCUUAAGGUACUGACUGCAGAAGAAAGGAAGAGGAAGGAAAGGAAACUUCUGUCAUUUAUGAAGAAUUAAUGUAAUAGAAAGGAAACACUUCAAACAACAGUGAGAGAUGAUGGCA